rnacentral:rRNA from 1 species
AUUGAACGCUGGCGGCAGGCCUAACACAUGCAAGUCGAGCGGUAGCACAGAGAGCUUGCUCUCGGGUGACGAGCGGCGGACGGGUGAGUAAUGUCUGGGAAACUGCCUGAUGGAGGGGGAUAACUACUGGAAACGGUAGCUAAUACCGCAUAACGUCGCAAGACCAAAGUGGGGGACCUUCGGGCCUCAUGCCAUCAGAUGUGCCCAGAUGGGAUUAGCUAGUAGGUGGGGUAAUGGCUCACCUAGGCGACGAUCCCUAGCUGGUCUGAGAGGAUGACCAGCCACACUGGAACUGAGACACGGUCCAGACUCCUACGGGAGGCAGCAGUGGGGAAUAUUGCACAAUGGGCGCAAGCCUGAUGCAGCCAUGCCGCGUGUAUGAAGAAGGCCUUCGGGUUGUAAAGUACUUUCAGCGAGGAGGAAGGCGUUAAGGUUAAUAACCUUAGCGAUUGACGUUACUCGCAGAAGAAGCACCGGCUAACUCCGUGCCAGCAGCCGCCGUAAAAC